UGGGGAAUCUUGCACAAUGGGGGAAACCCUGAUGCAGCGACGCCGCGUGAGCGAUGAAGCCCUUCGGGGUGUAAAGCUCUUUCGACGGGAACGAUAAUGACGGUACCCGGAGAAGAAGCUGCGGCUAACUACGUGCCAGCAGUCGCGGUAAUACGUAGGCAGCGAGCGUUGUUCGGAGUUACUGGGCGUAAAGAGUAUGUAGGCGGUUGCGCAAGUUCGGUGUGAAAUCUCCCGGCUCAACUGGGAGGGUGCGCCGAAAACUGCGUGGCUAGAGUGCGGGAGAGGAGAGCGGAAUUCCUGGUGUAGCGGUGAAAUGCGUAGAUAUCAGGAGGAACACCGGUGGUGUAGACGGCUCUCUGGACCGCCACUGACGCUGAGAUACGAAAGCGUGGGGAGCAAACAGGAUUAGAUACCCUGGUAGUCCACGCCCUAAACGAUGCGGACUUGGUGUGGGCAGUUCAUUCUGUCCGUGCCGGAGCUAACGCGUUAAGUCCG
rnacentral:rRNA from 1 species